CAUGGCCUCGAGCUCCCUCCCGCUCCUCGCCCUCCUGGCCCUGCUGGCCCUGCCAGGGCUCCGGGCGGCCGUGACCCUGCUGGAGUCGGGGGGGACCUCCAGCCCCCCGGGGGGUCCCUGACUCUGUUCUGCCGCGGGUCUGGAUUCAAUUUUGGAAACCACGACAUGUACUGGGUGCGCCAGAGCCCCGGGAAGGCGCUGGAAAACUUUGCGGGGAUCAACUACAAUGGUGGCAGCACCUGGUACGCGCCGUCGGUCAAGGGCCGGUUCAGGAUCUCCAGGGACAAUGGGCAGAGCUCGGUGACGCUGACCAUGAACAACCUCAAGGACGAGGAUUCCGGCGCCUAUUUCUGUGCCAGAUGUUAUACCGCUUAUUUUGGUGGUGCUGCUGGUGCUGUUGCUUCCGCAAGCCCCGAAGUGUUGUGUCCUCACAUGACCCAAAAUCUGGGAGUUUUGGCAAAGCUGCACCACGCAGGGCUCAGAGAGAGCAAUCAGCAAUUAGAGAGAAGAGGAAAGCACAAGGUUUGUCAGCAGAAAUGUUCUGUGAGAUGUAAACAGCAAGGACAGAUAUGA